UUCUUCUUAGCUCAGUUGGUAGAGCGCGUCACUAGUAUUGUCCAUCAAUGUGAUCUGAUUGAUCUAUGAGGAGGUUAGUCGUUCAAGUCGGCUAGAAGGAA